UUAUAUUCGACUAUGAUUUUGUUGUUAGGUAUUAAUUUCAUCAAAUGCUUAUUCUUUGUUUUUUUUUUCUUGUCGGUCUCCCAUCACAUUCAAGAACACUUAUUUCUUCAUUUUCUUCUUCAUCAGACAUGUUACUGAAAUUUCAAAGCAAUGCACAAAUUAUUAAUCAAAAUAAAUUACAAUAAACAAAACAAGUGAUAGCAAAUAUUUAUGUAAUAAGCAAAACAAAGCCAAGAAACUUGAAAAAUAAACUACCUUUCAUUCCUCUACUGAGUCAUUAUCUCCAGGGACAUCAUCACAAUCAGGUCUAUCAUAAAUUCCAACAUCAUCUUUAUCCAUAUCCAUGUUUGGAGAUGGAUAUUUUUUAGAUAAAGGUUCAUGUAUCACCAUGUCAAUACUCCCAUCAUAACCUACUGAUUUAUUGACUCUUUGACCUACUGAACAAACAAUUGAAUUUUUUAGAUCUACUUGAUCUUUCACAUAAAAUACUUGCUCUGCAUGUGAAGCUAAAAUGAAACAAUCAGACUUAUGACCAACCUGAUUAAGAUCAAUUACAAUGAACUCUAAAUCAUUAAUCUUAACCCACCUACUUUCUACCCAGUCACACUUAAAAAUAACUCUCUUAUUCAUGAGAUAUUGAAGCUCCUAAAUCUCAACAAGGACCCUAUAAUACUCCAUCACGCCAGUGUGCAUAUUUUUAUCCUUUGAGCUUGAAACUUGUAAUGUUGUUGGUGAAACAUUAACUCCACUAUUUUUUGUAACACGAUUAUUAUCGUGAUCUUUAGUUGCAAAUUUGAAACCAUUGAUAAAGUACCUUGUAUAUGCUAUGACAGUAGAUCUACGUUUGCUUGUUGUAACAGUAAAGCAUCAACCAUCGUAGUCUCUCUACCUCUUAAAGGUUUUUCAAUUGUAUAUCUACCAUGUAACUUGGUGGCAGUCUAAUAAAAUCAUGAUUAGACAAAUAUUUAGCAUAAAAUUCAAGUGCUUCCUUUGCCAUAUAUCAUUUAUCAAUGCAUCCUUCAGGGCAACAAUGGUUAUGAACAUAACCUUUUUGCAAUUUCAUAUUUCUCUCAAAUAGAUACAUCCAGCAAAGUUGAACAGGUCCACAUAAUUGGACUUGGUCGACAAGACGCACCAUCAAGUGGACCAUUAUGUCAAAAAAAAAAAGAUUGGAAGAAUUGCUCAAACAAGCGCAUAGUGACGUAAUGUUGUUUUUCCAAUUUGUCAAGAGAUUCUGUUUCUAGCACAUUACUACACAAUGCAUUGAAGUAAAAGCACAUCCUUAUGAUGGCUUUUCUAAUAUUUUCUGGCAAAUAACCAUGAAUUACUAAGGGUAGUAACUGUUGCAUCGAAGUAUGGCAGUCAUGAGACUUAAAACCUUGAAGCCGACAAUCAUCCAAGUUUUCAAGAUUCCUGAAGUUAAAAGAAUAAUCUUCCAGAACUUUGAUUUCAAAUAAAGUUUGACAUAACAUCUUUUUUCUCUUUUUUUCUUAAGGUGUAAGGUGCUGCAGGUAUAAAAUUUUUAUCAUUUUCAUUAGGAAUUAAUUUGCCUCUAAUUUGUAAUUCAAUGAGAUCUUUUCUAUCCUUGACCUCAUCCUUCGUCUUUCCAGGUUGAUGAAGUAGUGUGCCAUAGAUGCUCUCAUACACAUUUUUCUCAAUGUUCAUCACAUCUAACACAUGGCUAACUAACAAAUGUUCCCACUACUUCAAAAUAUCUUGACCAGAAAAAGUUUUUGGAGGCUCAUCCCAUUCUGCCUUAUUAUUUAGAACUUUCUUAAAUGAUCUAAAUGAGUAGUCAUGUGGCAAAAAUCGACGGUGCCCUAAAAAUAUGCAUUUUUUACUGUGUAAACCACUGUGACUUUUUGUCUAAGCCACAAACUGGACAAACAUAGUAGCCUUUAACAGUACACCCUGAAAGAUUCCCAUAUGUGGAAAAAUCACUAAUAGUCCACAUCAAGACAGCACGCAAAUUGAAGGUUUGCUUUUUAAAAGCAUCAUAUUUCUACACCAAUAUUCCAAAAGGUUUUUAAAUCACCAAUUAAGAGUGCUAAAUGUACAUCUGGAUCAUUCAUAGGUUGUUUAGGCCCAUAUAUCAAUAAAGGCAACAUAAUGAAUUUUCUCUUCAUGCAUAUCCAUGGAGGAAGAUUAUAAAUAACCAACAUAAGUAGCCAGCAACUGUAGGUAGAAACAAAGAGUGUUGUGUGGAUUAACCCCAUCAAUUAAGAGAGUUAGACAAAGAUUUCUAGGUUCUUGGCCAAAGUCAUUUUACUUAGAGUCAACUAAAUGCCAUGCUAGUAAAUAUGCUAGAUGGCGAAGUUUGUCAUCUUUAAUUCAAUGAUUAGCAUGCCAAGUCAAGUUCUCGACAGCUUAGGGCUAUUGAAACAUACGUUUGACCUAGGAAUAGGAGGAAACUACCACAAUACCUUUGCAAGCACCUGGUUACUACUUGUUUUAACUCUCUUUUUUUCCCUUAAACUCUCCGCAUGUAGGACAUUAUUCAUAUUUUCAUACUCUUUUCGGAAGAGAAUGCAAUCAUUCUUGCAUGCAUGUAUUUUCUCAUAAUCAAAUCCUAAUACUUUCAUUAUUUUUUUGGCCUCAUACAUUGACUUCGGAACGUUCUUAUUUUCUAGAAACACAUGAAAAAGAACUUCUAAUAAAGCAGUAAACCUUCCUUUUCAUAGUCUACAAUUUCAUUAACGCUGACAAUUUAGAAUACUUUGAACCUAAAUACCAAGGCUUCUAAGCAUCCUCAAUUAUAUCCCUAAAACACAUAGGAUUUUGAUCACAUUGUUCAUACACAUCAUGGAUCAUGUCCUCGACAUUACUAUGAUCUUAGAACCUAAAUUCGUGAUAUUCAAAAUACUUUGGCCAAAUCACAAAGGCUGCAUUUGAAUUAACCUUUCCAUGUUUAUGCCAACUUGUUGGUAGAAACCAAUUUGAAACAAAUGAUUCUUUUAUUCGUUCAGGAGUAUGGAACUCUAGGUUGCAACACUCAGAACAAGGACAUCUAACUGAUCUACGAUUUCAGAAUUAAGCGUAGCAAAAUUCACAAACUCCUCAGCUUUAUCUUCAUAUUCUUUGGACACUCUUGUAGACCAUAUCCAAGAUUUAUCCAUUUCAACAAUGAUGCUUGUUAAUGUAAAAUUUUAUUUAAAUAAAACAAUAAUGAAAAGCAGCUAUGCAUGCAUUCCUCACAAAUAAAGUAACAAAGGUAUAGCUAAAGUGAAAAUGUAUUUAUGUUAAACAUUUAUUCGUACCUUCAAUAAUCAAACACCUUCUCAUUAUUUUGUAAAAGAUUUUAGCACAACAGCAGAACAACAAUUUGUAAAAUUGAAUCAGCCAAAGAACAAUCUACAAACCACAUGUAAAUUAUAACAAUAUUAAUACUUUUAUCAAUAAAUAUAUCGAGCAUGGUCAAAAAGGUAAAUAAAACUUCUGAAUCUUACAGCCAAUAUUAAAGAAUCAUUAAAAAUUCAAAGCAGAUUGUAUUCUUAUAAUACCAAUUGCAAAUGAAAUGUUGAUAAGUAUAUAACAUAAAUUUGAAAGAAACAAUUGAAACACCUUAGCUAAUAGAUACAAUUUUAAUAGUAUAUCCGGGAUGAUUAGGAAAAUGAACUAAAAUUCUGCAUAUUAUAGUCAAAUUCAAGAAAUCAUCAAAAAUUCAAUACCAAUGCUAUCCAUAUGAUUCCAAUUGCAAAUGAAAGAUUGAUAAGUACAUAAUGUGAUGUGUAAAGAAAGUACAAAAAAAUCACAGCCAAUAGAUACAGUUUUAGAAAUUCAUCCAGCAUGGUGAGAAAGGGAAAUUAAAUUUCUACCUCUUACAACUAAUUUCAAAAAAUCAUUACAAAUUCAAUACAAAUGAUAUACAUAUGGUACCAGUUACAAAAGAAAGCUUAAUUAAUGUAUAAUUUGAAAUUAAGAGAAAAUAAACAAAUACCUUAUCUUUCAAACAAUUAUCAUUCACUCAUAUAUUUUCCUAAAUACCUGUGGGCACAAUUUUGUAUCAUCUUCUUUUGACAAAUCUUAUUUCAAAUUCUACCAACACAAAUACAGUACCCAACAACAGAAAAACAUGCAAAUGUAAGAAUUAAUUAAAGAUUAUAACCAACAAUAAACAAAAGUUAUAAUAUACUAGUUCACUCCAUUCAUGCAAUUCCAGUAGAAAACUUUAUCAUUUCAACUACACAAGCACAACAAAUGUUAUCCAAAAAUGAAAAACGAACUCAUCAUCAAGUUGCUGCAUCUAACUCUUUAGACAACCGGCCACAAAUAAAGAAACUAAUAUCAGAGCCAGCCCAAAUUGGAUAAAAUAAAAGACAGAACUAGCCCCAAUUGUUUCAAAUUGGCAUUUUCCAUUAUUGGGCAUUGUUAGUUUGAUGAAAGAUUGAAGAAUAAAGUAGCAGAUAAUAUGAGAUUUAAAAAAUUAAAUGAAAUUAGCCCCGAAUUGUUUUAAAAAUGGGGAUUUCUACUAUUUCUCUUAUUAUAGUCAAAAUUGAAGAAACUAUGAUGGCUUACUUCUUUUUACAAGUUCAAUGAUUCUUAAAUCCUUUUCUGAAUCUUCUUCUUCAGAAUCACUAGGUGCUAUUGCUCAACAACUUCUACUUGCAUCUUCAAAUAAAAGCAUACUUGUUAAUUAGUACAUAUCUGGCCGCGAAGAUUGAUUGAAGGGAAAAAAAACUAACGAGAGGGGUUUAGGGAAAUUGAAAGGGAUUUCGAUUUAAGUGGGUGAAAAAAGGGGUUUGAAAUUUGAGUUAGAAGACUUUCAUUGAUUUUG
rnacentral:lncRNA from 1 species